CUUAGUGUCGCGCUUCUAACCGUCCUUCAGUUGGACAACUUAUCUGACAUCNGGCCUCAAAUC
rnacentral:rRNA from 1 species